GGAAAAGAAACCAACAGGGAUUGCCCCAGUAACGGCGAGUGAAGCGGCAACAGCUCAAAUUUGAAAUCUGGUCCCCAGGGCCCGAAUUGUAAUUUGCAGAGGAUGCUUUUGGCGAGGUGCCUUCCGAGUUCCCUGGAACGGGACGCCAUAGAGGGUGAGAGCCCCGUCUGGUCGGAUACCAAGCCUCUGUAAAGCUCCUUCGACGAGUCGAGUAGUUUGGGAAUGCUGCUCAAAAUGGGAGGUAUAUGUCUUCUAAAGCUAAAUAUUGGCCAGAGACCGAUAGCGCACAAGUAGAGUGAUCGAAAGAUGAAAAGCACUUUGAAAAGAGGGUUAAAAAGUACGUGAAAUUGUUGAAAGGGAAGCGCCUAUGACCAGACUUGGGCCCGGUGAAUCAUCCAGCGUUCUCGCUGGUGCACUUUGCCGGGCACAGGCCAGCAUCAGUUUGGCGCGGGGGAUAAAGACUUUGGGAAUGUGGCUCCCUCGGGAGUGUUAUAGCCCAUUGUGCAAUACCCUGCGCCGGACUGAGGUACGCGCAUUGCAAGGAUGCUGGCGUAAUGGUCAUCAGCGACCCGUCUUG
rnacentral:rRNA from 1 species